rfam:Zootermopsis nevadensis contig20322, whole genome shotgun sequence.
CUAUGGUCUAGCGGUCAGAACACUAGCCUUGUAAUCCUGGGGUCCCGGGUUCAAUUCCCGGUGG